GCCAGCACUCCAAUGCAUCCUGUGUGAGUCUUCAUGAGUUAACCACACAGACAAUGCAACGAAUCCAAUUCACCCUGAAUUAUAUAAUAAAAUACCACUGGUGCUGCAUCAAGCCCUGCCUUCUCCCUGCUUCACAUUCAUCAGUCCAUAUCACCUGAUGUCUUCUGACUGAGACUGUUUGUUUGCUCACCACACCCUCACUCCACCUGAACCAUUCCCAUCGCCUUACAGUUCCUUCAAAACUACUUUGCUAUGUUUAGGAAAAAGAUUGUGGUUUGGGUUACAAUAAAGUGUUACGUAACUUA